UAAGACGGAGGGUGCUAGCGUUGCUCGGAAUUACUGGGCGUAAAGGGCGCGUAGGCGGUCUGUUAAGUCCGGUGUGAAAGCCCCCGGCUCACCCGGGGAAGUGCGCCGGAAACUGGCAGACUAGAGUACCGGAGAGGAGGGUGGAAUUCCUGGUGUAGCGGUGAAAUGCGUAGAUAUCAGGAGGAACACCGGUGGCGAAGGCGGCCCUCUGGACGAGUACUGACGCUGAGGCGCGACAGCGUGGGGAUCAAACAGGAUUAGAUACCCUGGUAGUCCACGCCGUAAACGAUGGGAACUAGGUGUGGGGGGUAUUGACCCCUCCCGUGCCGCAGCUAACGCAUUAAGUUCCCCGCCUGGGGAUUACGGCCGCAAGGUUA
rnacentral:rRNA from 1 species